AGCGAACGCUGGCGGCAGGCCUAACACAUGCAAGUCGAACGAACCUUUCGGGGUUAGUGGCGGACGGGUUAGUAACACGUGGGAACGUGCCUUUAGGUUCGGAAUAACUCAGGGAAACUUGUGCUAAUACCGAAUGUGCCCUUCGAGGGAAAGAUUAAUCGCCUUUAGAGCGGCCCGCGUCUGAUUAGCUAGUUGGUUGAGGUAAUGGCUCACCACGGCGACGAUCAGUAGCUGGUCUGAGAGGAUGAUCAGCCACAUUGGGACUGAGACACGGCCCAAACUCCUACGGGAGGCAGCAGUGGGGAAUCUUGCGCAAUGGGCGAAAGCCUGACGCAGCCAUGCCGCGUGAAUGAUGAAGGUAUUAGGAUUGUAAAAUUCUUUCACCGGGGACGAUAAUGACGGUACCCGGAGAAGAAGCCCCGGCUAACUUCGUG
rnacentral:rRNA from 1 species